rnacentral:rRNA from 1 species
UCAGGCCUAACACAUGCAAGUCGAGCGCUCACCUUCGGGUGGGAGCGGCGCACGGGUGAGUAACACGUGGGAACCUACCUUGAAGUACGGAAUAACUGAGGGAAACUUCAGCUAAUACCGUAUACGCCCUACGGGGGAAAGAUUUAUCGCUUCAGGACGGGCCCGCGUUGGAUUAGCUAGUUGGUGAGGUAACGGCUCACCAAGGCAACGAUCCAUAGCUGAUUUGAGAGAAUGAUCAGCCACACUGGGACUGAGACACGGCCCAGACUCCUACGGGAGGCAGCAGUGGGGAAUAUUGGACGAUGGGCGCAAGCCUGAUCCAGCCAUGCCGCGUAGUAAAGGAGGCCUUCGGGUUGUAAAGCUCUUCAGAUGG